GACGAACGCUGGCGGCGUGCUUAACACAUGCAAGUCGAACGAUGAAGAAAAGAAUCGAAGCUUCGGCAGAAAUUCAUUUCGGAUUAGUGGCAGACGGGUGAGUAACGCGUGAGCAACCUACCCCUUACAAAGGGAUAGCCUCGGGAAACCGGGAUUAAUACCAUAUAACAUUGUGACGAAGCAUUUCGAUGCAAUCAAAGCUACGGCGGUAAGAGAUGGGCUCGCGUCCCAUUAACCGGAUGGUGAGGUAACGGCUCACCAUAGUGACGAUGGGUAACCGGCCUGAGAGGGUGAACGGUCACACUGGAACUGAGACACGGUCCAGACUCCUACGGGAGGCAGCAGUGGGGAAUAUUGCACAAUGGAGGGAACUCUGAUGCAGCGACGCCGCGUGAGUGAUGAAGGAAUUCGUUUCGUAAAACUCUGUUCUAUGGGAAGAAAAGGACUGUACCAUAGGAGAAAGCUCCGGCUAAAUACGUG
rnacentral:rRNA from 1 species